rnacentral:rRNA from 1 species
GACGAACGCUGGCGGCGUGCUUAACACAUGCAAGUCGAGCGGUAAGGCCCUUCGGGGUACACGAGCGGCGAACGGGUGAGUAACACGUGGGUGAUCUGCCUCGCACUCUGGGAUAAGCCUGGGAAACUGGGUCUAAUACCGGAUAUGACCUUACAUCGCAUGGUGUUUGGUGGAAAGAUUUAUCGGUGCGAGAUGGGCCCGCGGCCUAUCAGCUUGUUGGUGGGGUAAUGGCCUACCAAGGCGACGACGGGUAGCCGGCCUGAGAGGGCGACCGGCCACACUGGGACUGAGACACGGCCCAGACUCCUACGGGAGGCAGCAGUGGGGAAUAUUGCACAAUGGGCGAAAGCCUGAUGCAGCGACGCCGCGUGAGGGAUGACGGCCUUCGGGUUGUAAACCUCUUUCGACAGGGACGAAGCGCAAGUGACGGUACCUGUAGAAGAAGCACCGGCCAAGUCCACU